rnacentral:lncRNA from 1 species
CGGGUACAGGGGUGCGCUUCCCAAGCCCCGUCCGCUGCUCAGAGCAUCCCCAAGAUUUCCCUCAUGGGUCCUGUCCUGGUUGUUUAAGAAGGUUUCCAGAAAACCUCCUGGUUUGAAGAACAAAGAUUCGUGGAAUUAUUGUACCUUGAGAGCUGGAAAGGGCUCGCAGAGAUGAUAUAAUGUCGUGGAUUUCAACUUUUCGGGGCCAUAGACACUUUUCAGAAAUUGAUAAAACGUUGACACACCUUGUAAAAAAUGAACACAUUAAAAUUAAGCCUGCAGUUUGAGGUAAUGGAGAAGCACUGGAGAUUUGUAAGCCACGGAGUCAAAUGGUGGACUGGGAUUUUCAGGAGAUCAUUUAGAGAGCAAGAUCUUACCAAAUCCUUUAGUCAUGGUCUAUUUCGUUGCACUCAUAUGGUUGUUACUGCGAAGGUGAAGAACUAAUGACUGCAGCAGGAAAAAGAAUUGGAUGUGUCAUGAAUUAUGGCCCUGCUUAUACUUCUACUUCAACCGUAAUCAUUUGUUUAAACAAAAAGUUCUGCAUUUGAAUUGUCACAAUUGUGUGUGUGUUAUAAACAUCUCAUAUUUCAUCCAGGCUCAGCCAACACUUGCCUUUAUUAAUGCUCAUAAUCAAGAAAUAAAAUCUCAUACUAACCAAAAAUUAUCCUUCAUAAGAGAAUAUAAACAGAAGUCUGGUUCAUAAACUUACUAAUUAACACCUCUAUUCUCAUGUAUCAACUAACAUUUUUGUUUCGUCUUAAAAUAAAUAAAACUUUAUGACAUGCUAAUAA